CAGCAGCCGCGGUAAUACGAAGGUCCCAAGCGUUGUUCGGAAUCACUGGGCGUAAAGGGAGCGUAGGCGGCGUGGUAAGUCAGAUGUGAAAUCCCGGGGCUCAACCCCGGAACUGCAUCCGAUACUGCCAUGCUUGAGGGUUGGAGAGGUAGCUGGAAUUCUUGGUGUAGCAGUGAAAUGCGUGGAUAUCAAGAGGAACACUCGUGGCGAAGGCGAGCUACUGGACAACAUCUGACGCUGAGGCUCGAAGGCCAGGGUAGCGAAAGGGAUUAGAUACCCCAGUAGUCCCUGUCUCUUAUAA
rnacentral:rRNA from 1 species